UAAUAGGCCCUUUUUAGGGCCACAGUUUUUAAUGAGAGAGGAUAGA
rfam:Strigamia maritima strain Brora ctg7180001223517, whole genome shotgun sequence.